ACGUAGGGGGCGAGCGUUACCCGGAAUCACUGGGCGUAAAGGGAGCGUAGGUGGCCUAUCGUGUCGACUGUGAAAACCCGGAGCUCAACUCCGGACUUGCAGUUGAAACUGGUAGGCUUGAGGACGGUAGAGGAAGACGGAACUGCCAGUGUAGGGGUAAAAUCCUUAGAUAUUGGCAGGAACGCCGGUGACGAAGGUGGUCUUCUGGGCCGGUUCUGACACUGAGGCUCGAAAGCCAGGGGAGCGAACGG
rnacentral:rRNA from 1 species